rnacentral:rRNA from 1 species
CCUACGGGGGGCUGCAGUAGGGAAUAUUGCGCAAUGGGGGGAACCCUGACGCAGCAACGCCACGUGUGGGAAGAAGCAUUUCGGUGUGUAAACCACUGUCGGAAAGGAAUAACGGAAGACUUCGGUCUUUAUGAAUGUACUUUUAGAGGAAGCACCGGCAAACUUCGUGCCAGCAGCCGCGGUAAUACGAGGGGUGCAAGCGUUGUUCGGAAUCACUGGGCGUAAAGGGAGCGUAGGCGGAAGUGCAAGCAAUCUGUAUAAUCCUGGGGCCCAACCCCAGUUCUGCAGAUUGGACUGUAUUUCUUGAAUAGUUCAGAGGCAAGCGGAAUUUCUGGUGUAGCGGUGGAAUGCGUAGAGAUCAGAAAGAACACCAAUGGCGAAGGCAGCUUGCUGGGGACUUAUUGACGCUGAGGCUCGAAAGUGUGGGUAGCAAACAGGAUUAGAUACCCCAGUAGUC